AUUGAACGCUGGCGGCAUGCCUUACACAUGCAAGUCGAACGGCAGCACGGGUGCUUGCACCUGGUGGCGAGUGGCGAACGGGUGAGUAAUACAUCGGAACGUACCUUAUCGUGGGGGAUAACGCAGCGAAAGUUGCGCUAAUACCGCAUACGCCCUGAGGGGGAAAGCGGGGGACCGUAAGGCCUCGCGCGAUUAGAGCGGCCGAUGUCUGAUUAGCUUGUUGGUGAGGUAAAAGCUCACCAAGGCGAUUAUCAGUAGCUGGUCUGAGAGGACGAUCAGCCACACUGGGACGGAGACAAGGCCCAGACUCCUACGGGAGGCAGCAGUGGGGAAUUUUGGACAAUGGGGGCAACCCUGAUCCAGCAAUGCCGCGUGAGUGAAGAUGGCCUUCGGGUUGUAAAGCUCUUUUGUCAGGGAAGAAACAGCAGCUCUAACGCAGUCUGCGAAUGACGGUACCUGAAGAAUAAGCACCGGCUAACUACGUGCCAGCCGCCGCCGUAA
rnacentral:rRNA from 1 species